rnacentral:lncRNA from 1 species
AUGCUGCAAAGAGGAUCUAGGAAUCCCCACCAUGGGUUGAGGGGCCUGCCAAGUACGUGGUACGAUGCCACACACACUGUAAGCACUCAAAUAACUGCAGACACCACUGGCUGCCCAAGAGGAGAAGAUGGUGGUCCGGCCCAUCACCCCUUCACUGGUGCUGAGCCUGGAGUGUUCGGGAAGUACUGGUCAUUGCCAUGCACUCUCUCUCUCCACUGGGCUUCACUUAAGGACCCAGCCUCUGUCCCUGUCAGUCCCACCACAGCGCAGCGUGCCUGCGUGCAGGUUCUGCCCUGCAGGUCGACCCCCAGGGCACAGAGACUCCUGCUGUCCUCAGCCCUCCACCAGGGAAGAUGGCCAGCUACAGCAACAGACCCGAGCCCCCUCCCCAGGCCUCGGUCUCUGUGGGGACAGGUCGGGAUCUCUAGCAGAUCCAGGAGUUCUCAGCCCAGAGAACCCGGGAAGCCUCAUCUCCCCUCCAGGCUGUUGGCCUUCGGCUGCAGAGAGAGGGCCUGGUGGGCUGAGCUGCUGUGUGCCUGGAAUCACAGGAUAUGGUCCUCACAGAGUAGCCUCCCUGGGGUCCCAUUGGAAGGGCGGAGCAGGGGGCGCUGGACGGCUCAGCGACCUCAUGAGGCUUGUGGCUCGCUAAAACAAUUCAAGUUACAAUCUGAAAUGCCUGGCUCCUUGGCACACCAUGCUUGGGAGCCUCUAUGUGGGCCCAGCCACCCCAUCUCGCCCACACCUCUGCUCAAAAAAGAACGGUUUGUUACUUGCUGCAGGUCAGGCAGAGACACACUUUCAUUCUGCAUUCUUCGGUCAGAAUUAACCAAACACGGCAGCCCAGGCCACCACCUUCCCUGUAUUAUGUUCUCCAUUUCCCUAAAGCACUUGUCCCUGGAAAAGCAGAGAGGAGAGGGAGCACUCAGUUGUCCAGCCACAGAGAUCACCCAGUUCAUUACUAAAGGGCGGGACAGUCCUCCGUGUCGCCGAGCAACCGUUAAUGACCAUCUCUCCCAGACUCUCCCCUUCCCUUCACCAGUUCUUCCCCGCUUAGAAUGGAGUCUGCUUUCAGCCAAGAUGCCUGUAUAUUUACAGGAAUAA